rnacentral:pre_miRNA from 1 species
AGGGACGGGAUGCUGUGCAGUGUUGUUCUAUCACCAACCAAUAUUGCACUCGUCCCGGCCUCC